rnacentral:rRNA from 1 species
AUUGAACGCUGGCGGCAGGCCUAAAACAUGCAAGUCGAACGAGAGGGGGACGGGAGAGCAAUGUCUCGGACUGUGCCUGAUGGAGGGGGAUAAUUAAUGGGAACGGUUGCUAAUAACGCAUACCUUCCUAUCUGCCCCGUUGGGUUUAGCUUGUGGGUGGGGUAACGGCACACCAAGGCGACGAUCUCUAGCUGGUGUGAGAGGAUGACCAGCCACACUGGAACUGAGACACGGUCCAGACUCCUACGGGAGGCAGCAGUGGGGAAUAUUGCACAAUGGGCGCAAGCCUGAUGCAGCCAUGCCGCGUGUAUGAAGAAGGCCUUCGGGUUGUAAAGUACUUUCAGCGGGGAGGCGUUACCCGCAGAAGAAGCACCGGCUAACUCCGUGCCAGCAGCCGCGGUAAUUC